CUGGAGGGCACCACAUUGGUUACCCUUGCUUUAAGGAUCCUCCACCUUGUGCUGACUUAGAAGAAGUCUCCAGUCAUCAUCUCCUUUUGCAGUGGGGUCAUCUGUGCUUUCCGAGUUGGUGAUGAUAAGAGAGAUGAAAGCUUCCGUUGCUCCAAGAACGUUUUUUGCUUUGCAUAUAUAUUCUCCAGAAUCAAGAAUCCGUUAGGGACACCACGAGGCAUGAAACAGCCAUAGCUGCACAUGCAGCCAGAAAAGGAGAACCUACCUGUCCCAUUGAGAGGGUUUCCAUCAGCCCUCCUCCAGUUUAGCUCGGGAAUAGGCACCCCAGUGGUGCCACAGCGCAGCAGGACAGUGCUUCCCAGCAUGGUCCUCACUU